GGAGAGUUGGCUGAGUGGUCGAAAGCGCCUCACUGCUAACGAGGUAAGGGCUAACCCCCUUCAUGGGUUCAAAUCCCAUACUCUCCG
rnacentral:tRNA from 1 species